rnacentral:misc_RNA from 1 species
CCGAGUUAGGGUCGUUCUGGCCCGACCUCCCACCCUUUGUUUAUUAUACCCAUGUUGCUUUGGCGGGCCUGCCUUUCGGGGCUGCCGGGGGCAUCACCGCCCCUGACUUGUGCCCGCCAGGAGCCUUUUUAAAUUCUGUGUUCAACUGUGCAGUCUGAGUCCCAAUAUCAAAAUAUACA